UGCGGUAUCGUCCCUGCGAUCCGCAUUCCAAAACUAACAGCCGGGCCCCGUGCCCGGCUUUUUUUUGCCUUCGU
rnacentral:misc_RNA from 1 species